rnacentral:rRNA from 1 species
UGGGGAAUUUUGGACAAUGGGCGAAAGCCUGAUCCAGCAAUGCCGCGUGUGUGAAGAAGGCCUUCGGGUUGUAAAGCACUUUUGUCCGGAAAGAAAUCCUUGGCUCUAAUACAGUCGGGGGAUGACGGUACCGGAAGAAUAAGCACCGGCUAACUACGUGCCAGCAGCCGCGGUAAUACGUAGGGUGCAAGCGUUAAUCGGAAUUACUGGGCGUAAAGCGUGCGCAGGCGGUUUGCUAAGACCGAUGUGAAAUCCCCGGGCCCAACCUGGGAACUGCAUUGGUGACUGGCAGGCUAGAGUAUGGCAGAGGGGGGUAGAAUUCCACGUGUAGCAGUGAAAUGCGUAGAGAUGUGGAGGAAUACCGAUGGCGAAGGCAGCCCCCUGGGCCAAUACUGACGCUCAUGCACGAAAAGCGUGGGGGAGCAAACAGGAUUAGAUACCCUGGUAGUCCACGCCCUAAACGAUGUCAACUAGUUGUUGGGGAUUCAUUUCCUUAGUAACGUAGCUAACGCGUGAAGUUGACCGCCU